AGUGGCGAACGGGUGAGUAACGCGUGAGUAUCUGCCCUUAGGAGGGGGACAACAGUUGGAAACGACUGCUAAUACCCCAUAUGUCUACGGAUGAAAGAUUUUAUCGCCUGAGGAUGAACUCGCGUCUGAUUAGCUAGUUGGUGAGGUAAUGGCUCACCAAGGCGACUAUCAGUAGCUGGUCUGAGAGGAUGAUCAGCCACACUGGGACUGAGACACGGCCCAGACUCCUACGGGAGGCAGCAGUGGGGAAUUUUCCGCAAUGGGGGCAACCCUGACGGAGCAAUACCGCGUGCGGGAGGACGGCCUGUGGGUUGUAAACCGCUUUUCUCAGGGAAGAAGACCUGACGGUACCUGAGGAAUCAGCAUCGGCUAACUCCGUGCCAGCAGCCGCGGUAAUACGGAGGAUGCAAGCGUUAUCCGGAAUUAUUGGGCGUAAAGCGUCCGUAGGUGGUUAAUCAAGUCUGCUGUUAAAGAGCGGAGCUUAACUCCGUUUAAGCGGUGGAAACUGGUUGACUAGAGAGUGGUAGGGGUAGAGGGAAUUCCCAGUGUAGCGGUGAAAUGCGUAGAUAUUGGGAAGAACACCGGUGGCGAAAGCGCUCUACUGGGCCACAUCUGACACUGAUGGACGAAAGCUAGGGGAGCGAAAGGGAUUAGAUACCCC
rnacentral:rRNA from 1 species